AUAACUGAGAGUUUGAUCCUGGCUCAGGACGAACGCUGGCGGCGUGCUUAACACAUGCAAGUUGGACGACGGUUGAUUGAAGCAGCGAUGCGGAGGUCAAUACGGAGUAGCGGACGGGUGAGUACAACAUGAGAAGCUGUCCCAUAAGGGGGGACAACGUCUGGAAACGGACGCUAAUACCCCA
rnacentral:rRNA from 1 species